CUGAUGCAGGUUCCAGUCGCUGGGUGUUUCGACUUUGCGUGCAUGGUCUUAUUUAGUCCAUGAGUGCAACGCUGCAACAUCAGGUGACGAGCAGGACCUUCUUCAAGGAGUCACCGCUGCCUCUGUCUCGCCCUUCCCCCUGAACGCGACCACACAUGUCCUCUCUCGCGACCACCUAGGAUUCGGUUCUUCCUCUUGUGGUGGUGCUUCGGCUGCAGCGACAUUGGCUGAAACAGCCACCCAGGGUUCAGUUCUUGCUCUGUCCACUGGCGGUGGUCCUUCUUGCGGUGGCAGAGGUGGCUGGAAAGCGGACGCUGCCAAGGCGGCGGCUCCUUGCGCCCAAGUUAAAGUAUCGCUCUCACUUUAAUUUUGGGGACUCACUGGUCGACGUUGGCAACCUGAUAACCAGCGGCCUCUCAGUCAGACAUCCUCGCCUCCAGGAGGCUGCCCUAUGAUCAGACCUAAUUCAGCAAGAAUUCGGCCACUAUCCCACAUAAGGAUGCAAGUAGUCUCUAACCGGCUAUUGGUAGUUGUCGAAUUUGGUGGCAACAACUACAACUGCAGUGCGCCCUUGUUUGCAGAGAAGGGCCUUACAGAGGCCUGAAUUUAAUGCCGGAUGUCACCAAGGUCAUCUCCGAUGGCGCUGAGGUAUUGAUUGCCGACGGGGCAGUCGAUCUUAUAAUGUCAGGGGUGAUGCACACUGGGUGCUUUACCGUGUAC